rnacentral:rRNA from 1 species
UACAGAGGGUGCAAGCGUUAACCGGAAUUAUUGGGCGUAAAGCGCACGUAGGUGGAUUGAUAAGUUGGAUGUGAAAGCCCUGGGCUCAACCUGGGAAUUGCAUUCAAGACUGUCAGUCUAGAGUAUGGGAGAGGGAAGUGGAAUUUCUGGUGUAGCGGUGAAAUGCGUAGAUAUCAGAAGGAACAUCAGUGGCGAAGGCGACUUCCUGGCCUAAUACUGACACUAAGGUGCGAAAGCGUGGGGAGCAAACAGG